rnacentral:lncRNA from 10 species
GGGAACCGGCGCCCGGAAUGUCAGCGUGUGAAGUAGGCGCUGGCAACGCGGGGUUACCCGCUGUUAUUGAGGAGUAACGGCCCAGCGGACCACCCAGGCUUGAGGCAGCGGCGGGAACCACUCGGUUUGCUGCGAUACCAUGGAAGGAGGCGGGGGAAGCGGCGACAAAACCACAGGGGUAUUGGCCGGCUUUUUCGGAGCCGGCGAAGCAGGUUACUCGCACGCGGAUUUGGCUGGCGUCCCGCUAACUGGUAUGAACCCUCUGUGUCCUUAUUUAAAUGUGGAUCCACGAUACCUCGUGCAGGAUACAGAUGAGUUCAUUUUACCUACCGGAGCUAAUAAAACCUGGGGCAGAUUUGAGCUGGCCUUCUUUACGAUUGGAGGGUGUUGCAUGACAGGGGCUGCGUUUGGGGCAAUGAAUGGUCUUCGGCUAGGAUUGAAGGAAACCCAGAACAUGGCCUGGUCCAAACCAGGAAAUGUACAGAUUUUGAAUAUGGUGACUAGGCAAGGGGCACUUUGGGCUAAUACUCUAGGUUCUCUGGCGUUGCUCUAUAGUGCAUUUGGUGUCAUCAUUGAGAAAACACGAGGUGCAGAAGAUGACCUUAACACAGUAGCAGCUGGAACCAUGACAGGCAUGUUGUAUAAAUGUACAGUGUCAGAGAUGGCUUUGGAUUCCCCGUUCUGUGUGCUGCUGUCUGGCUCCUGAACCCAGCUGUAGAGGUGUGUGUCAAUCCCAACUGGUGAAGUACUGAGAAGAAGCUACACAAAAGGCAGCAAAGUAUUAUCCUGGAGGCUGAGAAGUGCAAGAUCAAGGUGCCGGCAGUCUUGGUGUCUGGUGAAGGCCUGCUUUCUCAUAGAGGCUUCCUUCUUGCUGUGUCUUCGCAUGUUGCUCCUUCACAUGUUCCCACUCUCUGUGCGGCCACCAUGUAAGUCGGACCUGCCCUUCUGCCAUGAUUCGUCAGCCUCGAGUUUGACCAGCAGCAGGGGUCGGUGUGUCCCUCUGAAUCUGAGACCUAUGAGGCAGGAGCUAGGGACAGGAUGGCAGGAGCGCCCAUGGCUGCUGCUGUACAGCCUGCUGAGGUGACUGUUGAAGUUGGUGAGGACCUCCACAUGCACCACGUUCGUGACCGGGAGAUGCCUGAAGCUUUGGAGUUUAACCUUUCUGCCAAUCCAGAGUCAAGCACAAUAUUCCAGAGGAACUCUCAAACAGAAGCUUUGGAGUUUAACCCUUCUGCCAAUCCAGAGGCAAGCACAAUAUUCCAGAGGAACUCUCAAACAGAUGUUGUAGAAAUAAGAAGAAGCAACUGUACAAACCAUGUAUCUGCUGUGCGUUUCAGUCAACAAUACAGCUUGUGUUCGACAAUAUUCCUUGAUGACAGCACAGCCAUCCAGCAUUAUCUUACAAUGACAAUAAUAUCUGUGACCUUGGAGAUACCUCAUCAUAUCACACAAAGAGAUGCAGAUAGAACUUUGAGCAUACCUGAUGAACAGUUACACUCAUUUGCGGUUUCCACCGUGCACAUUAUGAAGAAAAGAAAUGGAGGUGGGAGUUUAAAUAACUAUUCCUCCUCCAUUCCAUCGACUCCCAGCACCAGCCAGGAGGACCCUCAGUUCAGUGUUCCUCCCACUGCCAACACACCCACGCCCGUUUGCAAGCGGUCCAUGCGCUGGUCCAACCUGUUUACAUCUGAGAAAGGGAGUGACCCAGACAAAGAGAGGAAAGCCCCGGAGAAUCAUGCUGACACCAUCGGGAGCGGUAGAGCCAUCCCCAUUAAACAGGGCAUGCUCUUAAAGCGAAGUGGGAAAUGGCUGAAGACAUGGAAAAAGAAAUACGUCACCCUGUGUUCCAAUGGCAUGCUCACCUAUUAUUCAAGCUUAGGUGAUUAUAUGAAGAAUAUUCAUAAAAAAGAGAUUGACCUUCAGACAUCUACCAUCAAAGUCCCAGGAAAGUGGCCAUCCCUAGCCACAUCGGCCUGCACACCCAUCUCCAGCUCUAAAAGCAAUGGCCUAUCCAAGGACAUGGACACCGGGCUGGGUGACUCCAUAUGCUUCAGCCCCAGUAUCUCCAGCACCACCAGCCCCAAGCUCAACCCGCCCCCCUCUCCUCAUGCUAAUAAAAAGAAACACCUAAAGAAGAAAAGCACCAACAACUUUAUGAUUGUGUCUGCCACUGGCCAAACGUGGCACUUUGAAGCCACGACGUAUGAGGAGCGGGAUGCCUGGGUCCAAGCCAUCCAGAGCCAGAUCCUGGCCAGCCUGCAGUCAUGCGAGAGCAGUAAAAGCAAGUCCCAGCUGACCAGCCAGAGCGAGGCCAUGGCCCUGCAGUCGAUCCAAAACAUGCGUGGGAACGCCCACUGUGUGGACUGUGAGACCCAGAAUCCUAAGUGGGCCAGUUUGAACUUGGGAGUCCUCAUGUGUAUUGAAUGCUCAGGUAUCCACCGCAGUCUUGGCCCCCACCUUUCCCGUGUGCGAUCUCUGGAGCUGGAUGACUGGCCAGUUGAGCUCAGGAAGGUUAUGUCAUCUAUUGUCAAUGACCUAGCCAACAGCAUCUGGGAAGGGAGCAGCCAGGGGCAGACAAAACCCUCAGAAAAGUCCACGAGGGAAGAGAAGGAACGGUGGAUCCGUUCCAAAUAUGAGGAGAAGCUCUUUCUGGCCCCACUACCCUGCACUGAGCUGUCCCUGGGCCAGCAGCUGCUGCGGGCCACCGCUGAUGAGGACCUGCAGACAGCCAUCCUGCUGCUGGCACAUGGCUCCUGUGAGGAGGUGAACGAGACCUGUGGGGAGGGAGACGGCUGCACGGCGCUCCAUCUGGCCUGCCGCAAGGGGAAUGUGGUCCUGGCGCAGCUCCUGAUCUGGUACGGGGUGGACGUCAUGGCCCGAGAUGCCCACGGGAACACAGCGCUGACCUACGCCCGGCAGGCCUCCAGCCAGGAGUGCAUCAACGUGCUUCUGCAGUACGGCUGCCCCGACGAGUGUGUGUAGUAUCUGUUUUAUUUGACUGCAGUCUCCUUGGUGCAAAAACAAAAUGGGAAAAAUAAGGAUAACUCAGAAUUUCAAAAGGAAAUCACAAAUUCAGCUAAUAUUAGCAUUUUCAGUACUUUUCGUAAACUAAGUAAAUACACAAAAUGUUGAUUUUUCUGACCAUAAGACGUAUUUUAUGUCCUUCUGCCAAGGUGGAUUUGUUAGUCUCAGGCCCUCCUGGCCACAUUGCCCAAGUCACACAGGCUUCUGUAUUAUGUAUUUAGAUAAAAUGUGUGAAAACAUAUUUGAAAUAAAGUUCAUAAAUAUGCAUUGAUUUUUGUACACAUGGCACCUCUUUUUCAUUUUUAUUUUUAUUUUUUUUGGACGAUGUUUUGCUCUGUCACCCCAGCUGGAGUGCAGUGGCCAGAGAUUGUGCCACUGCACUCCAGCCUGGGCAACAGAGCGAGACUCGGUCUCAAAGAAAAGAAAAAGAGGGUUACAGAUCACUGCACAUGGAAAAUAUUCCCAGCAGUAAACACUUCCAUUAAUGUGAUCUACAGCUUUUAAAAAGGAGCAUCUCAGAAUAAGAUGGUGGUACAAUUUGCUGAUUGAGAAAGGAAAAAAAAAAACAA